GUUCUUGUAAACUCACUGGGUACUUUUUACUAACUAGUACAUUUUUUUUAUAAUCAUACAGUCAUGAUAAGAACACACCCAUAUUAAAGGCAAUAAUAAAAUAAUAGAGUGGUAAAAUAAUGUCCUAAUUGUCAAAUAGAGACAAUAUGUAAAGAUGGAUUCUUCACCAUAAGACAGCAGCACUGGUUUCUAGUAGGAACUGGUGGGUGAGGAGGGAAAGGCACAAGUGUACUGAGUCUCUGGUCAAGGGCAAAAGGUGAAUGGUUUAGAUCAACCCAGAGAGAGCAAACUCCUGAAGUCUUGAAAGGCAUUCUCCUUUCUCCCCAUCACAGAUACAAAUGUAAGAUGACCUGAAAUAAUCUGGCUGAGUGUUAGCAAAUGGUUGUAAAUGUCCUGAUUUGUUUCUGCUUUCAGAUUUACUCCAGAGCACUCCACAGGAAGGUUUGAUAUAUAACAGAGCAAACUUCAAAGGAAAAUGAACAUGUUAACUCUUCAAUUUUUUCCUCUCAUAAAGAGGGUAAUUUUUAAAUGUUUAUUUUCACUGAUUCAUUUACAGCUGCAAAAGUAAGUCGAAGCAUCUUACUACUGACACAGUACAUGGUAAAGAAAGGUGAGAAUAAUUAGACGUGUAAUAUUUUUACAUCAAAUAUAUACAUUAUUUUUUGUGGAAAGUUUUCUAAAAGUUAAAUUUUUAUUUCUAUUUCUAUAGUUAAAUUUUUAGAAUUUAAUAAAAAGCUAAAUUAAAUGUGAAAUGUCUUUUUAUAAACUAUUUGAACACUUGAAAUAUACAAGAAUUAUUAAGUUGGUGUCCACUGUGUUGAUUUAGCUCACAUAUCGAACGUCAUAUAAACACGCUGUAAGUGCCUCUGAGUUGAGAGCUCUCUGGUCCCCUUCAAUCCAGAGAGAGCAAUACCUAAAAUAUAGAUUAAUCUUUGAAUCUAAAUUGCUUCCUUUUUGAUUAGUUCAUAAGGGUCAACAUCUAAUGAAAUUAACUAGAUACUAUAGAAGUCAGAAAAAGAUCAAAUCUGACAUAACCCAGGAGAGAUAAGAACGUGUCUUUGAACAUUAACAGGGAGCAUGAUCACUACUGUUUUGUGCACUGAUCAACAUCUUUGCCUGCACGUCCUUGAUUUCCCAUUGUGGCUCAGCAGUAAUGAAUUCAAGUAGUAUCCACUAGCACAUGGGUUCAAUCCUUGACCUCGCUCAGUGGGUUAAGGAUAAAACGUUGCCAUGAGCUGUUGUAUAGGUUGCAGAUGCAGCUUGGAUCCCAAGUUGCUGUUGUGUAGGUUGGCAGCUGUAGCUCCAAUUCGACCCCUAGCCUGGGAAUUUCCAUAUGCCGCAGGCGUGGCCCUAAAAAGACCAGAAAAGAAAAGAAAAAGAAAAGAUCUAAAAAGAAAAGAAAAGAAGGAAGGAAGAGAGAGAGAGAGAGAGAAAGAAAGAAAGAAAGGGAAAGAAAGAAAAGAAAAAAGAAAAGGGCUGCAAUGUCCUGGAAUUAAACUGUUCGCCUGAGAAAACAAUCAAGGACUGUGACUUUCAAUCAAUGGUCCAGGUAACACAUGAAAGGAAAUCUGAAACUCCAGCUUGAAAAACCCCUCACCCAGCAAGUUAGAAUUGCAGAGAUAAAAGUUUUCUGGAAACACAUAGGCAAAAAUAUUGUUUCCAACAAAACAACAAAAAUCAUACUUUACUCAGAAAGGUAAGUACUGAAAAUGUGGCACAAUGGUAGAGGAAUUCAGGAAAAAAAUGUUUAGACUCAAGAAUGAUAUACCCUAUUGUACUUUCCAUGUUCUUGAAACAGAGGGACCUGCUUUGGAAUGUGACAGCUCAGUGUAUGGCCCCAGCUGCUUUUCCCAAAUCUAACACACACACACACACACACACACACACACACACACGUAUGCGUGCAGCAUAAAAUGGAAUUUAGCCAACAGCCUUUGUGAGGGAGAUCAAAUUAAGUAACUCAGGAUGAGGGAUGUUUCCCAUAAAAGUAGGAACAGUGAACACUGAAACUGAAUCACCAAAACUUCACUCUAAAGUAAAUGUUCUGAGAGGGAGAAGGUCAGGAGGCAGAUCCCACAGAAACAAUGGUGGAUUCUGAGCAGUUUUCUCCUCUUGGGUGGGGCGAUACUGGGCUAAUCUGCUGUUGAAAUCAUCCACUUACCUUGUUAAUUAAAUGACUGUUUUCAGUAUCAAGAUGUUUGUUUUCUUUCCAAAUCUGACCUUUCAAAAAUAUUUUCUCUUAUCCCUUAUGUGUUCCAUUUUUACAAUUUUUUCUUUAUCAUUAAAAAAUGUUUAUUUUACCAUCUUCAUUUAAUUUUCUGUUAUUUGAAAUCUAUAAUGGUUCAUUAAAAGUCACACCUGUUUAGGGGAGAUCUGUCUUUGAUUAUUCUCUGAUUCUACAUCAUCAUCAUCUUUUUUUUUUUUUUUGUCUUUUGUCUUUUGUCUGUUUAGGGCCACACCCAUGGCAUAUGGAGGUUCCCAGGCUAGGGGUCGAAUGGGAGCUGCAGCUGCCAGCCUAUGCUAUAGCCACAGCAAUGUGGGACCUGAGCCAAGUCUGCGACCUACACUACAGCUCACGGCAACGCUGGAUCCUUAACCCACUGAGCAAGGCCAGGGAUCAAACCUGUGUCCUCAUGGAUGCAAGCUGGGUUCGCCAACCACUGAGCCACAACGGGAACUCCUACAUCAUCAUCUUUUUGAGUCUUAUGUGACCCGGAUUGAGGGCACAUCCGACAAAAUCAGUUGUCAGUUGCUUAGCAAGUAUGGAAGGCUCCUCUGCCUUGGGACCACCUCAUGUGUUAUUUCUUGGCGUAGAUCUUCCUGAGUGUCCCAGCAACAGAUAUUCACAUCCCAGACUGACUGAGGGCAUGGCUGUGACACUGAAGUUGCAAGUUGCUCAGGUGAGAGAAGUGCACCCAGGACCGACUUGGUCGGGGCCCUGGUGUCUCUCCUACCAAACUCUCAUGGAGCGAGUAUCUGCUUGCACAGGAACCACAAUUACAGCUGCUACUGAGCAUCACUUUGCAGUUAGUUGAUUGAGAUUUACCCUAUUUUCUUAUGAGUUCAUCUUUGCAUUUAUUGAAGUAAUAGUUCAUCCAGUAUUUUAAAACAUUUUUUAAUAAGAAGGGUUUUGAUGUGCAGUUCAUGGAAGAAAUGGAAAUUUCGUGAUCUGAUUGUAAAGUUGUCUUCAUUCUUAUCUAAUACUUGCAGUUUACAGUGACCUUGACGUUUCUUUCUUUCUUUCUUUCUUUCUUUCUUUCUUUCUUUCUUUCUUUCUUUCUUUCUUUCUUUCUUUCUUUCUUUUUCUUUCUCUUUCUUUCUUUUCCUUCCUUCCUUCCUUCCUUCCUUUCGUCUUUUUGACUUUUCUAGGGCCAAAUCCACGGCAUGUGGAGGUUCCCAGGAUAGGGGUCUAAUCGGAGCUACAGCCACCAGCCUAUACCACAGCCACAGCAAUGCCAGAUCCGAGCCAGAUCUGUGACCUACACCACAGCUCACUGCAUCGCCAGAUCCUUAACCCACUGAGUGAGGCCAGGGAUCAAACCUGCAACUUCAUGGUUCCUAGUCGGGUUUGUUAACCACUGAGCCACGAUGGGAACUCCCAGUGACGUUUUUCUUUUUCCGGUUCAUGGUUUGGCACUUCGCUUAAACUCUGGAUGGAAACCACCUAGAAGGGGAUGCAUAUGUUUGGCCUUGAGGCUGCUGUGAGGCAGCUGGCAAGUCAUCAUCCUUACACUGAACAGGAAGGAUUUGUGUCUCCAGGUCCCACCAUGUGUUCAGCACCCUCCUCUCGCAGUGCUGAAUAGACUCCAUCCAUCACUGUCAUUUUUCUUUAGGCCCACAGGGGUCAGAAUCACAAACAGAAUUUCCAAAAGUGCAGUUUCUCUCGACAUGAUCCACAACUGAGUUAUGGAAUUUAUUUUUAGGGAGAAAGCUCUGAAGCAGAAAGAUUUAAGAUUGAGUUGCUUUUUCUGCAGAACCUGAACAAUUUUUAAGAGCAAAAAAAACCCCAAUUAAUUUAUAUUUUGGCUUUAACAUAUAGAGUCCAUUCAUUCUACAAAUGGAAAUGAACAAAGACAGACGAUAAAAAUACAUUUCCAAGUAACCAUAUGGUUCCCUUGUAUUAGUUAUACUGGAAAUAAGGAGAAUGAAGGACAUGUUAAAUAGUAUUAAAUAUUAGAGAAUCUCCUUGGCCUGAUGCCAUGGUAUCGUGUACACAGAAAUGCUAGAGCCAAGAACUCAAAAACUGUCCAAGACAAGUUGGUGGGGGGAUAUUUUGUAGAAAAGCUCCAGAAAUCUCUGUUGAGCCACUGUUGCUGGCGAGCUCUCUUUAUUAAGGAGGCCAACAUGCAAAUCGAAGCUGGUUCUUGGCCUUUCCUCAGCCCACAGGCCAAGGGCUGCAGUUCAUUCGCCAGCACCCCCAUCACCUCUCACUGUCCAUCCUUUGGCAGUGUUUUCCCAUUGAAACCACAGAAGGAGCCACUUUAGUAUAUUCUGUUUGGAUUAGAAACAAGAACACUGUAUACCUCCAGUUGAGUAGAAACCUAACUGUUCCAAUGUUAACAAACAUAAAUAAAAUAGUAUUUUUAACAAAUGAAAAGACUGACAUCCUUUGGAAGCUGCCAAGGGUUUUUACUCGUUUCUAUUAAUAAAGAGUCAGUUCUUCUUUCCACUCCAUUUAAUCAACUGGAAAAGGCAAAUCUGCUUAUUUUCAAAAAUCCUCAUUUCCCAAAAGUAAAAACUGAAAGCCAAGAAAACAAUUAUGGGAAAAGUGGCAGACCAAAGUACACUAAUCACUCAUGCUGCGUAAAGUUUUCUUGAACAUCAUUUUCAAUUGCUUCUUUUUCACUUGAAUGCUUUAUACACAUUCCCUCAAAAGCCUAGAGUCUGGAAUUUGAAAAAUUGUUCUGACUAAUAUAGAAAGUACUUUCUUAUGAAAAAAACUAAAGAUCAGAGUUCUAGAGAGUAUAUAAAAAUACCCUUUCUCUUUUGGUCUUCUAAUAUCUGCAAUCUAAUGUAUGGAUCAAAAAUAAAGCUACUUUACAAAGUUUUGAGUUGUAAGUAUAGUAAAUCAAUUUUAGUUUAUAGUUAUUGUUUUAUGGAUCUCACAAGAAUUUUCACUAUCUGGUCCAUAAAUAGGGUAACUAAAUAGAGUUUUGUAAUAUACGUAUCUGAAAAAAAAAGUGUGUGUCAUCUCCAUUUAAUCAUAUCGCAGCUUUAUUUUGAGAAAGACAUGAUUUGCUUGUUUUAAGUCAGGAUGCAGUUGAGAAAGGCCAUGGAAAUGUCUUCCAGAAAGUGGAAAGGACAAUGCAUUCUUAUGGUGCCAUAGCUGUUUAGCCUCAGUGAAGAUACAGCCUCAGCAGUAGAAAAGCAAUCCUCUCUUGAAGAGCUAAAUCUUAUUUGUGCUUAAAAUUACCAAGAGCCCCAGGGUGACAAUGAAGUUGUUCUCAAAGUUCUGCUUGGGAAUUUGUUAGAAAUUCCCACUGACAUUAAUGGGAGUUUUAUAGGCAGUUUUACUCCCAUCGUGAGAGUUUCGGCUAGAGUGCUUCUGCCAGCUAUUCACAGAUGUAUGAAAAAAAAUAUUUUGAGUUGUGGGUGUGUCUAGAAAUGUUGAAAUAGGAGUUCCCAUUGUGGCGCAGCGGAAACAGAUCUGACUAGGGACUGUAAGGUUGUGGGUUUGAUCCCUGGCCUUGCUCAGUGGACUAAGGAUCCAGCAUUGCCAUGAGCUGUGGUGUAGGUCGCAGAUGUGGCUUGGAGCAGGCAUUGCUGUGGCUGUGUAGGCCGGCAGCUGUAGCUCCGAUUGGAUCCCUAGCCUGGGAACCUCCAUAUGC
rnacentral:lncRNA from 1 species